GGAAGAAAGGGAGAACAUGCAGCGCCUCUGCGUUUAACUCCUUCCUCGCUCGCCGCGUGUCUUACACGCUGUCGUGGCUGAGCAUCCGGCUCUUAUUUGCGCGGUCACUAUUGCGUCGGCUCAACGCAACGUCAACCCACGCGGAAGCAGGAGGCACCUCCAGGUAGAGCUGCCCUUGACUGUCGUAGGUGGUUGGUCGCGUUUUCCUCAACCGGCUCAAGCGUCGUUCUUGCCCUGCGAAUAUUUUUCACAACCCAUGUUCUUCCAGUGAAUCCUGCCCAUUAUUCCUCCAAAUCGAUCCCCGCGGCCGCACCGCUCCUUCGGUGGUUCGUCACGAACUCGCGGUUACCAUCUCAACGUCCCGUCUCUCCCUUCUGCGCCGCUGUGUUGUCCUCCUCUUUCCUCUCGCCGUGAUUCCUCAUCCUCUAUGCCCGGUCUUCCUCCGCCAUUCCUAAUGCUUGGCCCAGUAACUUGACUGUCUCUCUCAAAGGAAUCGACUCUUCUGCUCCCUCCAGUUCACGGCGUCAAUCCUGUCGUCCCUACUCCAUUGCCUGACAGUGACGCCUCGCCCCAUCGCAUCCGCAGCCAUGGCGCCAUGCCCGACAGUACUGCCACGCUCCCUGCGUCCCUGCUCGAGUUCAUCGAAGCCGCAGUCCGCAGGUGGAUCCCCAGCAUGACUGCACACCAGGAUCAGGAACACGACCAAGAAGCCUCGCCAUAUCGGCACUGUCGCCGUCCUUGCUGCUGCCGCCGCCAUCAGCGGGGGCGAGCCAUUCCACGUGUUCGUGGGGCAAAUCACGAACAUGAAACAAUAUUAUACCUUUGAGUCUGAACUUCCCAGGAUUGCUUACCUGUUGCCUUCAUAUAUUGUCAAAUUGACCGUUCCCCACCUUGACAUUGAAGGCCUGAUGCAAUAUUUCAUCUUUGGUUUCACCGAACAGUCACCUAUGCUUGGAUCUAUUCUCUUGGUAAGAUUGUUUGCCGAUUUGGGAUUGUAGUUUGUUAGAAGGUAGGGAAGCCUCAGCCCUGAGUUGCUUUGUUUUCUAUUUCGAAAUAUUGUUUCUCACCAUUCAAUAAACAAAGAUCCAUUGCAAAAAAAAACUCCAUGUUAUAAAAAGGUAGCUUGGAAUUUAUGCAACCUUUUAGAUUAUUCAAUAUCAAUAAUUAGCUUAGUCCUUCAGCUCUGUUCAGUUAUAGAGGAAGCCAUUUUGAUAAAGCUACUGUUCAAAUAGUCUUCUUGGUUGUCUUCAAUUUUUUCAGUCUUUGUGUUAUGUUUUCUUGAUUAGCUCAAAGGUUGUCAAACUGAGGUAGAGUUUUUCUUCUAGAUUUGUGCAUAACUUGGCAAACAGAGGUAGAGGUACAUGAUAUAUAUUCUUGCGCUCACUCUUUGGAUUUCUUCACCAAACAUCGAUACUAAAUGUGAACGCCUAUUCAAAAUUCAAAUUGCAUAUGGACUAUGUGAUACCUUUAGUGUCAUAUGUAAACAAGAUCACUUGCAAGUUUACUCCCUGACAAUCUGAAGCUAUAUUUUUUUUCGUUUCAUCUAAGGCUUCUGUCCAUGAACAUGGUUAGGUGGGACUCAACACAAAAUAAGUUUGACCUUUGCUACCAGAAUGGGGGAGAGGAAAGUAUCCGGUACCAAAACUUAGAAUUUCUCUCUUUUAACAUACUACCUCCUUUGGUAAGACUUUUUUUGGUCGAAUUUGGAUUGUAGGUUGUAAAAGGUACAGAAGCCUUGGCCUUGAGUGGGAUUUUUUUAAUAGAAGAAUCGGUUAUAUUUUCUGUAUAAAUUACCGAAUCUUGAAAGCACAGUAUCAGUUUUGUUCAUCUUAAAAAGAUUUUUAUUUGUGGGGAACUUAUAUUGUGCUUGAAAGCACAAUAUGAUUCCUGAUGGGUGGAGUGAUGCAAUUGUAGGAACUUGGAGCAAGACACCCGCCUCUUCGAAUUCUGUGGCCACAUCAAGGACAAGUGGACAACAGACAUAAGUUCAGAUAUCCAUUUCCAUCUGCUUUUUAGCUGCCAAAUUUAUGCGUUUAGAAUGUGCACCUCUUUGUCAAAACUAAUAUGUUCAUAGCAUAUUUUCAUUUGUUUAAAAUGUAUGUGAUUGUGUACAAGACAAAUGGAAGCACAUGGAAGGUCAUCAGUAUGGUCGAAUCGUUUUUGAGGUGCUUU